UGUCAGUCAAUGGUUUUGAUGAGAGACUUGCAUAGUUUCCUUGCCAUCUGCUCUUGCCACAGCUGCUAAUAUGAACAUUCCUUCCCAAAGAAGAAACAGUUAUAUUUCAUAGCUGGUUGGUGAGAAGGGUAUGAAUGGGAAUAUUAGACACUGGACAUCCAGCAACAGAAAGAUAGCUUGUAGCUAUAGAACAUUGGUGGCAUAGGUCUGGCAGGGAGUUUUGAUGCUUAUCCUAUUACUCUGAGCCACAACCUUUAAUAACCUUUCUGCAUAUCUAGUUUAGUAAGAGCUGAUAUCCAUGUCUGUUUCCUGUGUCUUUUAAAACUGCUGCUUAGUGAUUUUUCAUGCCCAGAUCUGAUGACAUGUGGGGAACAAUAUUAUCUUUCACUAGGUUGAAUUGGAACAUGUGGAUACUUUGUCAGGACCUUGCAAACAGGAAGGGCUAUAGGUCAUGAGUAUUAUAUCACCUUUACUUCUCACUUAACCUACUGUGUGUAUCUAGAGGCACUUCUCAGCUUGUGUAGCCACUGAGAGAGAGGGGUCAGCACCACAAAGGACACCGACACCACUGGCUUGUGUCUGUUUUCAGAGUCAACAUUACUCAGUCACAGUUCCCAUUCUCUGAAUGAAUACCUCAUGGUUGACAUGGAGCCCUGCAGCCCAUUUCCUUCUCCCAUUGAGAGGAAGAGGAACUUUCCCUGGGUGAGGCCUCUGCGGCAGCGCCUCAAUGCAGCCACUGCGGACCCGCCCACUCGCAGCGGAUCUGCCACGCCCCCCUCAGUUUCCAUGACGACCUGACCCUGCACCUUCCCUAAGCCGCCAAGAUUUCCAGGACUUGGGGCCAGGCUGGCUUCAGCAUCCUUGGCGUCGAUGAGAGAGUUGCUCCUGCCCUGGCAACCACAGCUAGAUCUGGAAUUGGGGAUUUUCGUUCAGGGCAGGUUAAGAGCUUCAAUUGUUUUGGAUAGAGAGAUUGAUCCCUGGCUAAGAGAAGACGAAAGGUCUACCCGUCCAGCAAUUUACCUUUGCUCUGUGAUCUAUCUUCCUAUGGGGGACAAGGGCACUCAGGGAAACAUCCAGAUAACUGAGUGCCACUUCCUGGAGAAUGACUGGCUGACUGCUCUGGCCUGCCAUCAGCCCUGCUCUUGUACAUGACACCACUGCUGUGAUGCUGUUAGGGCUGUGACGGGACAUGGGCCGAAGAUACUUUUCCUGAAACAUAGGGUUGUUCGUCAGGUACUCAGCUCAUGUCCCAUAAGAUGCUUCUACCUCCACCCUGGGAAUUGUAUGGCUUUCUCUCUAUAUCUUCCCUCAUUCCCCAAAAGACAAUAUAUCAUUUGCAUGGCACUGCAUAAAAAUGAAAUAUAUUGAAUGGGCCCUACACUCACCAGAUUUUAAAAAUUACGUUAAAGAAAGAUACCUGUUGAUAAGUAUCACUAUAACACAUGUUGUAUCUGUUUCCAAGCACUAUUGCAACAAAGAACCACAAACUGGGUGCCUUAAAUAUCAGAAAUACAUUUUCUCACAGAUCUGGGACCAGAACCUGAGAUCAAGGUUUUGGCAGGACUGGCCUUUUGGGGGGGCUGUCUGAGUCUCUUCUGUGUCUCCCUCCUAGAUUUUGAUGGUUUGCUGGCCAACUUUGAUAUUCUUUGGCUUAUAAAGAAUUAUCCAGGUCUCUGCCUUCAUCCUCACAUGAUGUUUUCCCUGUGUGUGUAUAUCUGUAUCCAAAUAUUCUCUUUAUAUAAAGACACUGGUCCUAUUGGAUUAGGGGUCCACCCUGCUCUCACAUGACCUCAUCUUAUCUAAUACUAAUGCCUGCAGUGACCCCAUUUCCAAAUAAAGGUCAGGCACUGGGGGUUGGGUUAUGGAAAUAUGAAUUUUGGGUGGUCACUAUACAACCCAUAAUCAUAUCCCACAUAAUUAUUUAAUGUCUGUACAUUCAAGUAGGUGUAAAAAAAUCUUUAUAAUUAUCUGAGCAAAGAAUUUAAUACUAUUUUACGAAUACACUUUUGCAGAAUUUAAUGUGCUUUUAUCUUAGAAAUGCAACUGCCAAAUUUAUUGAAUAAAGACUGUAGAUUUU